GACGAACCGUCCUAACGUUGUUCGGAAUCACUGGGCUUAAAGGGCGCGUAGGCGGCUUGCCAAGUCAGGGGUGAAAUCCUGCAGCUUAACUGUAGAAGGGCCUUUGAUACUGGCGAGCUCGAGGGAGGUAGGGGUAUGUGGAACUUCCGGUGGAGCGGUGAAAUGCGUUGAUAUCGGAAGGAACGCCGGUGGCGAAAGCGACGUACUGGACCUCUUCUGACGCUGAGGCGCGAAAGCUAGGGGAGCAAACGGGAUUAGAUACCCCGGUAGUCCUAGCCCUAAACGAUGGGUACUAGAUUGUAGACUUGACAUGGGUUUACAAUCGAAGCAAAAGUGUUAAGUACCCCGCCUGGGGAGUAUGGUCGCAAGGCUGAA
rnacentral:rRNA from 1 species